GAUCCUGGCUUAGGAUGAACGCUAGCUACAGGCUUAACACAUGCAAGUCGAGGGGCAGCGCGCGGAGGCUUCGGCCACUGUGGCGGCGACCGGCGAAUGGGUGAGUAACACGUAUCCAACCUGCCCGUCACUGGGGGAUAGCCCUCCGAAAGGAGAAUUAACACCCCAUGAUUGCAUUUGAGGCAUCUUUUAUGCAUUAAAGGUUACGGUGACGGAUGGGGAUGCGUCCGAUUAGCUAGUCGGCGGGGUAACGGCCCACCGAGGCGACGAUCGGUAGGGGGUCUGAGAGGAUGGUCCCCCACACUGGAACUGAGACACGGUCCAGACUCCUACGGGAGGCAGCAGUGAGGAAUAUUGGUCAAUGGGCGAGAGCCUGAACCAGCCAAAGUAGCGUGAAGGAUGACGGCCCUGCGGGUUGUAAACUUCUUUUAUGCGGGAAUAAAGUUCGCCACGUGUGGCGUUUUGCAUGUACCGCAAGAAAAAGCACCGGCUAAUUCCGUGCCAGCCGCGGC
rnacentral:rRNA from 1 species